rnacentral:rRNA from 1 species
AUUGAACGCUGGCGGCAGGCCUAACACAUGCAAGUCGAGCGCGCGGCGGACGGGUGAGUAAUGUCUGGGAAACUGCCUGAUGGAGGGGGUUAACUACUGGAAAAGGGAGCUAAUACCGCAUACCAUCAGAUGUGAACAGAUGGGAUUAGCUAGUAAGUGAGGUAACGGCGAACCUAGGCGACGAUUCCUUGCUGGUCUGAGAGGAUGACCAGCCAAACUGGAACUGGGACACGGUACAGACACCGACGGGAGGCAGCGGUGGGGAAUAUUGCACAAGGGGCCAGAGCCUGAUGCAGCCAUGCCGCGUGUGUGAAGAAGGCCUUCGGGUUGUAAAGCACUUGCAGCGGGGAGGCGUUACCCGAAGAAGAAGCACCGGCUAACUCCGUGCCAGCAGCCGCGGUAAUAA